CGCGUAGGCGGGAUGGCAAGUCGGUCGUGAAAUCCUUCGGCUCAACCGAAGAACGUCGGCCGAAACUGCCAUUCUUGAGGGAUGCAGAGGAGACUGGAAUUCCCGGUGUAGCGAUGAAAUGUGUAGAGAUCGGGAGGAACACCGGUGGCGAAGGCGGGUCUCUGGGCAUCUCCUGACGCUGAGGCGCGAAAGCGUGGGGAGCAAACGGGAUUAGAUACCCCGGUAGUCCACGCUGUAAACGAUGACGACUAGGUGUGGGGUGGUUCAGUCCACUCCGUGCCGCAGCUAACGCAUUAAGUCGUCCGCCUGGGGAGUACGGCCGCAAGGUUGAA
rnacentral:rRNA from 1 species